GGCCGGUUAGCUCAGUCAGUUGAGCGUGGCGCUAACAACACUAAGGUCGUGGGUUCGAUUCCCGUCUAGUCCC
rnacentral:tRNA from 1 species